rnacentral:piRNA from 1 species
UGGAGGAACCUCUGCACUCUCUUGCCC